GAGCCGCAAUGAUGGGUGAUUUUUGACAGCUCUACGGUGACAUCCCCCGAAAUGCUAUUUCGCGGGGGAACUCAGUGGUACUCAAGUUGAAGCCAUCUUGGGCACUCAAUUUCCAUCAUGGCUGCCGCUAGUUAAAAAAAAACGACAGUUGGUAUAAAAAAAUGCUCUAGUGCAAAAAACAUAGUCCUACCCCCCAUCUUUUUGCACUUUUGCUUUUGUAUGUUGCAUAUGUGCUUUAUCUCUUUCACACAAGUAGGCACACAUAGGCCCCACCGUGACGUCAUAUUCACCCCAUCAAGCAUGACCUGUCUAUAUGUGCCGACUGUUAAUUCUGCAUUGUUCUAUUCUACCGCAUUUGAAUUCUGUGAAUAGAGGAAAUUUUGUUAAGGUAUUUUUUUAUCAAUACAUCAAUACAGCAUGCUUACGAAAACUCCACUCCGUACCGGCUUUGUGACUGUCCAGAAGCUUAUACGCUCAGGAAAAUGGAAAACAUUUAUCAUGAUCAUCGAUAUGCAACAUUCGCAUCACAGCCGAUUCUCGAAAUGAUGGAAAUUAGCACCUCCAAUCCAUCGGAUUUAUCUGCUCCACCGUCUGUUCCAUCGGUCGUCCCCGCUGUUAUUCUUGAUUCGACAUACUUGGCAGUCUCAUCGUCACCACCACCCAUCUGUGAUGUUUCCGGAUCUAUGCCCACUUCGUCAGCCAUGCCGGGACAGCGAUCCUCUUCCGGACCGUCAUCCUCGCCCAGUCUGACGUCUUUAGCUGGUUCAUCUUCAUCAUCCGGCGCGCAUAAUAAUUCACUUGAUAAAAAAGUAGACAUUCUUAUUAAACUAUCGAAGCAGACUGCGGCUGAGGUCAAAAUUAUGUUUAAUGCAAUGAAUCCGAGAGCUGGGACAACCUCACGCAAUACAGCCAUCACUGCCAUUGAAACAAAAGAAGAGUUAGAAGCCUUUAAUGCUAACUUAGAGGUUAAUACGUAUAUGGCUGAGAUGCUAUGCUCGCUUUUGUAUGCAAUUGAUCAUAUAAAAUAUGUUAAAGAAAGACUUGACAAAAUAAUAGAUCUAUUGUUUACUAGGGAAUUUCUUUCAAAAUGUAGUUGGUCAGGGAUUGGUCGUCCCAAUCAAAAAGUCGCAUUUGCUGCGUUUGAAAAUGUAUUCGUAUUAAUCAAAUUUGCAGGAGGAAACAAAUUUCUUCAAUUGAAUGACGACUACGUGAAGAAGAUUUUAGUGAGUAAAAUGGAUCAUGGGAA